CCUACGGGUGGCAGCAGUGAGGAAUAUUGGUCAAUGGACGAGAGUCUGAACCAGCCAAGUAGCGUGAAGGAUGACUGCCCUAUGGGUUGUAAACUUCUUUUAUAUGGGAAUAAAAUGUUCCACGUGUGGGAUUUUGUAUGUACCAUAUGAAUAAGGAUCGGCUAACUCCGUGCCAGCAGCCGCGGUAAUACGGAGGAUCCGAGCGUUAUCCGGAUUUAUUGGGUUUAAAGGGAGCGUAGGUGGGUUGUUAAGUCAGUUGUGAAAGUUUGCGGCUCAACCGUAAAAUUGCAGUUGAAACUGGCAGUCUUGAGUACAGUAGGGGUAGACGGAAUUCGUGGUGUAGCGGUGAAAUGCUUAGAUAUCACGAAGAACUCCGAUUGCGAAGGCAGUUCACUGGAGUGAAACUGACACUGAGGCUCGAAAGUGUGGGUAUCAAACAGGAUUAGAUACCCGGGUAGUC
rnacentral:rRNA from 1 species